ACCUCGAGGACAUCAUGCGCUUGAGGGGAGUACUUGAAGAUGAUCUGGUCGUCGGCUUUGAAGUUCCUGAAGGACGCCCAUGUGCCGUAGUUGGUGCUGAGGUCCCACGCUCCGCCGGGCUCGCCAACGUUGUAGAUCGCCGCUGAUGCGGUGCUCAGGAUGGCCAUCACAGCCAUGGCGAGAAAAAUGGUUCGUGUGACAGCCAUUGAGGCUUGAACUGCAAGGAGAGCUUAGCAGAGGAGAUUACAAGGGAGGUGCUGAUGUUUUGGUCCUUGAGCGGAGAAUGUGUUUGCUUCCCUAGGUGGCGGUGUCCGGUCCUAUAUAUAGGACAAUCCUGGCCGGGUGGGACGGAGAAACAUGUGCGGUUGGUGGGACUUUGAAUAUUGUGUGUAGGUGGGAACACAAGCAGCUGGUACGUACUUGAUCAAAAUAGACUGAGUUUGUGAAGACCGGGCUGUGCUGUUAGCCUGCUGACCAUUUCACGCGUUCUUUUCCUUUUUCUUCAAUAUGGACGCGGUCUACAAGACAUGACGUAGACUAACACGAUCCACAUACCUUUUGACGUAGAUCCUAAAAUGUUGAUAAAUCAUUUUUUAUUACUGGAUUCGACAUAUUAAAGAGACCCUAAAAUGUUGUUGUUGGGAUUAUUUAAUUAUAUGCACUAAUUCAAUAUCAAGUACAAAUGGUACAUUUGGUCACUCUAUAAUGUUAACCUAUAUACCUAUAUAUUAAUAACAGAUUUUUUUUAGGGAAUAUAUAAAUAAGAGCUUUUUUUUACCACAUAGUAGAAAAUGGAGGUCCUACUGAUUUGGAGGCCCUGUGCAGCCGAACACUCUCCACAGGUGCGUGGUACGGGUUUGCCGUUGGAGGCCUGUUGCAUGCCUUGAUUAGGAUCGUGCCUUGAAUAGGUUACAUGGAGGAUAUAUAUAGAGGCCAAGAUCCAAGCGAAUUUCUACCAUUGCCGCCAAGAUAAACAUGGCCUUUCGUUUUAGAUAAAAUUUACUUGAUUGCAGGCUGGAAGCUCCAUUUUUACCAGUUUUAAAUUCCUCUUUGUAUGUGGUAUUAACGCUUUAAUUCUUUAUUUUGAUGCUCGUCUUUUAAGCAAUACAUAUCGCUUGCUUUCUAUGUUGAUAGUAUUGACUUGUUUUGUUGGAACAAUGUUGUAACUUUUUGUAACAUUGAAGCUGUAAUUUAAUUAGUUGUACCGUGCAACACAUGUAGUAGAAAGCUGGAAAUUAGACCGGAGAAAUCUAUCCAGCACUUGUAUCAAAAGUAGUCCUCGUUACCAUGAUAUAUCUAGGUUUUCCAUCAACAAUGACCGAAGGAGAGGAUCCCCAUGUGAAUGAAUUACUCAAAGCACCACAAAGUGAUGAAAUUUUAAUUACAAGUUUGCGUGUGAGGAGAGAUUCUAUUGUUCAUUGUUUUUGAGAUAGCUCACCAGUCAUGCCAAAUGGUAGGAGAGAUAGUCCCGCCAAGACAUAGUGGAUAUUUGUAAACUUUAAUUCAGUUUAAUAAUGCGUCGCACAAUAUUAUUUCACUCGAUGAUGUUAUUUUGCAAUCCAGGAUGAUGCACUAUGGCUCAAUUGCACGGUUCAGCAUGCCAGCUGAUAGCUCCAUUCUACCAAUUCUAAACGUGUUUUGUGUGUGUGUGUGUGUGUGCGUGUGUGUGUGUGUGUGUGUGUGUGUGUGUGCGUGUGUGCAAUUUAAAACGUGUUAACUUAACUGUAUAUUGUAUGAAAGCUUUACUUCUUGAUUUGAACAUUGGAAUUUUGUUCAUCGUUCUCCUUCUAAAUUGGAGGUUGUGACUUUUUUUGCCGUUGAAACUUGAAAGGUGUAAAAUAAAUCACUAGAGGUUGUAACAUAAUUAGUUCUAAAGUGAAAUUCAGGUAGUAAAGAUGAAAUAUUGAAUAAACGAAGUUAAAAGUUUUUCUUUUUUGAGAGAAGAGAAGUUCGAGUUGAAUGCUGAUCAACGAACCCUUGAUGUACGUGAUCAGGGACAUGGAUUGUGAUAGUCUACAUCGCGUAGACCGCGUCGAUACCGAAGAAAAGAAAAGCAACGAGUGAAGCAGUCAGUAGGCCCGGUCUUCAGAUCUUCUGUCGAUCUAUUAUCUAUUAUAUAUCUAUACGUGUUUCACUAUGAUGACCAAGUAGUAGCUGCAUGCUGCGUAGCUUGCUUGUGUUCCCACGUAACAUUCAAAGUCCAAAAUUCAGAUAGGUACUCUAUUAUAUGUACCCUAUAUAUGCUACGGCAUACGAUCAAUGCAAAUAUUCACAAUCCACAAGAACUAACCUGUGUCAAGAGAAAUGUUGUAUAAGACAAAAAGAUUCUGUAUUAAUAAAUCCUCCAAAAUGAAUCAGCAAUACACAAAGCCCGAAUACGUCCAACAUACACAUAACUACUUGACCAUACACACAGAUAGUUGCUAGUAAUAAUUACUUGAAUCUACAUAAAAUACACAUGUGCCUGCGUCUACAGAGAUGCACUCAAGCCACGAGGCCGACAACGGCCAGCAAAACGGCGAGGCCGAAACCCGCGGCCUCCACAUUGGUGGCAGCAGAGACAGGUGUCCGCGGGGGAGCGUUACUUGCACUUGGGCCGCUGGCCGGGGCGGGUGAUGUAGAGGAGGAGCCUGGCAUGACAUCAAUCUUAACCUUCAUGCCGCCAGCGCAAUGACCAGGGAAACCGCAGAUGAAGUAGCGGGUGCCGGUGGCGGUGAGAGUGACAACAUCAUUCCCAGAGUUGAAGGUGGUGACAGGGCUGGCGGUGCUACAGGAGUUCAUAGUCUGCCUUGCUGACCUCGAGGACGUCGUGUGCCUGAGGGGAGUACUUGAAGACGAUCUGGUCAUUGGUUUGGAAGUUCUUGGAGGACGCCCAUGUGCCGUAGUUGGUGCUGAGGUCCCAUGUGCCGCCCGGCUGCCCCACGUUGUAGAUUGCCGCAGAUGCCGUGCUCAGGACGGUCAUCGCGGCAACUGCAAGAAAAAUAGUUCUCGUGGCAGCCAUUGAGGUUUGAACUGCAAGGAGAGCUAGCAGAGGAGAUUAUAAUGCAGGUGCUGUUGUAUUGGUCCUUGAGCGGAGAUUGUGUUUGCUUCCCAUGGUGGUUGUGUCGGGUCCUAUAUAUAUACAGUACAGGGUAUGCCCUGGUGGGUUGAAGAAACGUGUACGGUAGGUGGAAGCCUGGACUAUUAUCGUACGUGCCUGGAUUUUGGACUUUGAAUGUUGUGUAGGUGGGAACACAAGCAAGCUGGUACAUACUUGGUCAUACUCAAACACGUAGGAGUCUAUGAUAAUCAUCGAUCGACUGAACAUCUGAAGACCGGGCUGUGUUGUUGGCCUGCUGACCUUUUCACGUGUUUCCUUUCCUUUUCCUCCAGUAUUGACGUGGUCUACAAGACAUGACAUAGACUGCCACAAACACAUACCUUCUGACGUAGAUCCAACUGCCCAGUUGCAUUUCAACUCUCUCUAAAAAAGCCUCUAACUUCCUCUGUUAAAAUUGUCAGCUUUCAACUACCUGAAUUCCAGCUGGAUCACAAAUUCACAACUAAUUAAAAUUGCAGCUUUUAAAUUUCAAGAAUCAAAAGUAACAACUCUCCUAAAAGCAAAAUAUAUUUAUGGCAAAAAAGUACUCCUAUGACAUUAAGCUCAAGAAGUAAUGCUUUAGUACCACAGAGUUAUAAAAUUUGAAAUUGGGAAAUUGGCAUUCAGCCCACGAACAUUCAGCGGAACAAAUGACUGACUUUGCAUCAUCCUAGAUUGUAAAAACAAGGUUUAGAUAAUGACUGAUAAUAUAUAUUUAAAUUGAAUUAAAGUUUUACUGGAAUAAAAGGCUAGAUAGUGCCGGUGACAGGGACUAGUUUUGAUGAAAACGAUAAACAAGUCUUGAAGAAUAGAUACAUAAUCAUUAUUGUUGGAUAGAUGUCUCUAAUCCAUUUGAAACUAUUUGUGGUGCAUGCGCUAAAAGUAUUAAUGUGAGGCGAGCCUUGAAACACCAUCUUUUUCAACUAGCCCUUGAUGCACAAUGUAAUUUGCUACUAGGCGAUUUGAGACUAUAACAUAGAGACAACACACAUGCAUGUCUAUGCUCAGUGCCUCUCGGGGUCGAGCGAUGGUCGUGCUUCCGUGUCGUAAUCCCUCUUGAGGACAUCGUGUUUGGACCUUGCAACGAUUGGAGGGACCAGAGGCAACGGUGCUAGGUCGCGGCCGCCUCGUCUUCUUCGUGCCAUCGGGCCUUUGGAGCGGGGUCUGCAGCGACUUGCGGCGGUGAGGUGGUGGCUGUCAGUGGUUGUUGUCGUGUGGCAAUACGGUAGCCUCCAGCCGGUCCGGCGACGGCGUUUUGGCCAUGUUCUUGCUCGCUGCAGUGUCGUCCGAUGGGGUGCGAUGGGGCGGCUACCCGCCUUUUUCGGUGGUGGCGGCCCCCGUGGUCAUGUGUAUGGCGUGGAGGCUAGGUCUUGUGGUGCUGACGGCUUCUAUGAGGAUGGCGGAGGUAUGGGACGCCCCCUCCACCAACAAAUCGGGUUUGAUGCGGCUCGGCGGGUGACACAUGUAUCUCUUCUGGAAGCGUCAUGGCAUGCCUGCCACCAACAGGUGCUAUGCAUGAUAUCUCAUGCGCAGACGUCAAGUCAUGCUUGCCGUCGGCAGAUGCUAUAUGGUGGGUUUGACAGAGUUGUCAUGCUUAGCUUGUUCCUAUUGUAUCGAAGGUGGUGCGACGGAGACCGGAGGCGAGGCAACAUGGGACGUCUUUGUCUUCCGGUUUCACCUACUGCAAUAUCUGGCUAGCGAGGUGUCGGUAGCGGACAAGUGUUGGUGGUAGAAGCAACUUUAGCGAUGAGCAUGUACACUCCGAUGGAAACACUAGAACUCUGAUCACGCUAUAUCGACGCGCGUUGCGUGGUACCAUUGCUGAAGGUGGCGGAUCGAAACUUGGCUUUGGAAAUGAAAUCCGAAGAUCGACCUUGGGUUGGACUUGUCAUUAUCGGCGCACGUGUGAAGAUUUCUUUCUUUUUAUUUUAUAAUAGGGUUAGUGCAUGUCUGGUGCAGUUACUAUUGCGAGGCAUGUGGCCUCGGAUAUUUUUAGUUUUCAUGUCAGUGUUGUUCUGCUGCUGAAUUUUUUAAUAAUAAGUAAUAUAUGGAUGCGUGCAUCACUUGAUGCAGAGGCCCGAGUUUAUCCUCCUUUUUAGAAAAUGUGUUGCCACUGUCAGGUUCAAAAAUAAAAGGCCAAAGCUAGAGUUUUUACCUUACGGCACCAUAACUAAUAACUGAGGUACAUAUGUCCUGGCUUUGACAAAUGCAGCAAAGACACGAUUGCCAAAGGAGCCCAACGCACCAAAGAGAAGCAUGGCUACAGUGUCGAUCUGGAAAAAAAAAAAAUGAGACCAGGUCUCACGGUUAGCAGGUGAGGCCCGUCCUGAUGGAUGACACGUGGCAUUCACAANNNNNNNNNNNNNNNNNNNNNNNNNNNNNNNNNNNNNNNNNNNNNNNNNNNNNNNNNNNNNNNNNNNNNNNNNNNNNNNNNNNNNNNNNNNNNNNNNNNNNNNNNNNNNNNNNNNNNNNNNNNNNNNNNNNNNNNNNNNNNNNNNNNNNNNNNNNNNNNNNNNNNNNNNNNNNNNNNNNNNNNNNNNNNNNNNNNNNNNNNNNNNNNNNNNNNNNNNNNNNNNNNNNNNNNNNNNNNNNNNNNNNNNNNNNNNNNNNNNNNNNNNNNNNNNNNNNNNNNNGGGGUGCGAUAGAUGCUUUGUGAUUUGUGAGGAGAGAUUAGAUACUUUAUGAUUUGUGAAUGCCACAUGUUAUCUAUCAGGAUGGGUCUCACCUGCUAACCCGUAAGACUUGGUCUUAUAGAAUUCUUUUCCGUGUCGAUCCCAUCCCAUCGAAAUGGCAUCAGAUUAUACAUAUUGUGUUGGGUCCUAUAUAUACAAACUCAUGGCCAGGUGGGUUGAAGAAACACGUGCGGUAGGUGAAAGCGUAGAAUAUAGAGUACGCGGGAACACGAGCUAGGCAUGCAGCUAGUAUGUACUUGGUCAUAUAAUCAAACACCUAGAUAGAUAGUAUAUAAUAAAUAAUAGACUGAAGAUGUUAAGACCGUUUCAAGCGUUCUCAUCGCAUAGCAGCCAUUGCCUGCUGCUUCAGUAUCUUUCUUUGAGAAACUACUGCAUAACUUGGUUCCACGGCCUUACCAUGCUGCUUCAGUAUCGACGCGGUCUAGGUUCCAAGGAGACAUAGUUGACUAUCAUAACUCACAAACCUUGUAGAAGGCAUUUAAACUCUCACUAUAGAAAAAAAAGUUCUCACUUCCUCUUAUUAAAACUGGAACGCUUGUUGUAUGAAUUCCAUGUCACUACUUUCAACUUAAGAGUUCCCACAAAAAAAGAACUUUCAACUUAAGAGGUAAAAGUCCAAUAUUAAAAUCAUGAAGUAAAGUUUUUAGACCGCGGAUUAAGCAGAGAAAUAAUGACCGACAUUGCAUCAUCCUGAAUUGCAAAAUAACAGCUUAAAAAAAGAGUGAACACAUAUUAUAUUAAAGUAAAUUUUAUGUAAUAAAAGGAUGGAUAUACAAUGGCGCCAAUGAGGACUACUUUUGAUUAUAGUGAUGAAAAUUUUCUUGAAAGUUAAGUACACCGGACACGCCCACCAACAUUGUAUAGACGUCCCUGGUCUAUUUGGACUAUUUGGGGUACAUGCUCAUAGCAUCUUUUUGCUAGGUAAGCCUUGAAAUUUCAGCAUUUUCUACUAACCCUCAUGCACUGUACAUUUUACUUCAAGGUGAAUUGAGGUUUAAAUGGUGAGAGCAGACGAUCUAUACACGUGCCUGCUGGUCCAUAUUAUCCAGUCGGUCGCGUUUUCAUGCAGAUCAGCGCCCAAAACAAAGUUAAAGCAGACAGGGAAAGGGAAAACAUUUUAAUAAAAUAAGCUGUUAUUCCCUCAAAAUAAAAUAGGCGGUUAGCUAGUAGGGACCAUCUUGAUGAAUGUUCUUUACCUAAUGCCGAAGGUACUUUUACAGUGGACGGGGCCUGGACAGGGGAAAUUUUGGUCCUUCACAGCGUCGAUAGCCAUCAAUCUCAGGGAAGAAUUCGUUCCCGAAAAGCACCCAUCACCGACUCCCAUGGCUCUCUCUCUCUCUCCCUCGAUAACGGCGACUGUCCCUUGCAACACCAGAAACAAGAACAUGUAUGGCACUCCACGAGCAAAUGACGGGAUUUUUGCCCAGCCGAAUUUGAUCCAGUAUGUUUGGGGUUGGGGGGCAUCCUAAUUGUUCUCCACCAUUUGUGGCAGCAGGUUCUUCAGGAUAGUUCAUUUACAAUCCGGGGCAAUACAAAUUACAUGUCUAAUCUAAGUAUAUAUUUCUGUAAUACAAGUUUAAGUUACGAAAUUGUUGGUUCUCAUGGUUUAGCAAGAAUGUGUGUCAAGUCAAAUAUUGUAUAAGACCAAACGAAUUUUUAUUAAUCUCCAAAACGAAUCAGCAAAACGCAAAACCUGAAUAUGUCCAACAUACACAUAACUACUUGACUAUACACACAUAUAGUUGCUAGUAAUAAUUACUUGACUAUACACAAAGUACACAUGUGCCUGCGACUGCAGAUAUGCACUCAAGCCAUGAGGCCAGCAAUGGCAAGCAAAACGGCGAGGCCAUACCCGAUGGCCUCCACAUUGGUGGCAGUGGAGACAGGGGUCGGCGGGGGAGCAUUGCUUGCACUUGGUCCGCUGGCUGGGGCGGGUGACGAGGAGGAGCCAGACAUAAUAUCGAUCUUAACCUUCAUGCCACCAGUGCAGUGGCCAGGGAAGCCGCAAAUGAAGUACCGGGUGCUGGAGGCGGUGAGGGUGACAACAUCAUUCCCAGAGUUGAGGGUGGUGAUGGGGCUGGCGGUGCUGCAGGAGUCGUAGUCAGCCUUGCUGACCUCGAGGACAUCAUGCGCUUGAGGGGAGUACUUGAAGACGAUCUGGUCGUCGGCUUUGAAGUUCCUGGAGGACGCCCAUGUGCCGUAGUUGGUGCUGAGGUCCCACGCUCCACCGGGCUCGCCAACGUUGUAGAUCGCCGCUGAUGCGGUGCUCAGGAUGGCCAUCACAGCCAUGGCGAGAAAAAUGGUUCGUGUGACAGCCAUUGAGGCUUGAACUGCAAGGAGAGCUUAGCAGAGGAGAUUACAAGGGAGGUGCUGAUGUAUUGGUCCUUGAGCGGAG
rnacentral:lncRNA from 1 species